rnacentral:rRNA from 1 species
GACGGAGGGUGCUAGCGUUGUUCGGAAUCACUGGGCGUAAAGGGCGCGUAGGCGGCCUUGCAAGUCGGUUGGUGAAAGCCCGGGGCUCAACCCCGGAGGUGCGGCCGAGACUGCAGGGCUGGAGGCCGGAAGAGGAGGGUGGAAUACCCAGUGUAGAGGUGAAAUUCGUAGAUAUUGGGUGGAACACCGGUGGCGAAAGCGGCUCUCUGGUCCGGACCUGACGCUGAGGCGCGAAAGCGUGGGUAGCAAACAGG